GUGUUUGCUUCAGCAACACAUAUACUAAAAUUGGAACAAUACACAGUUAGCAUAGCCCCUGCACACAGAUGACAUGCAAACUCAUGAAGCAUUCCAUAUUUUU